CCUACGGGAGGCAGCAGUAGGGAAUAUUGGACAAUGGACGCAAGUCUGAUCCAGCCAUGCCGCGUGCAGGAAGACGGCCCUCUGGGUUGUAAACUGCUUUUAUAUGAGAAGAAACCCUCAGAUGCGUUUGAGGCUGACGGUAUCAUAUGAAUAAGGAUCGGCUAACUUCGUGCCAGCAGCCGCGGUAAGACGAAGGAUCCAAGCGUUGUCCGGAUUUACUGGGUUUAAAGGAUGCGUAGGCGGACAUUUAAGUCAGUGGUGAAAUCCCAUAGCUCAACUAUGGAACUGCCAUUGAAACUGUAUGUCUUGAAUUCGGUUGAGGUAGAUGGAAUAUAACAUGUAGCGGUGAAAUGCUUAGAUAUGUUAUAGAACACCGAUUGCGAAGGCAGUCUACUAAGCCGACAUUGACGCUGAGGCAUGAAAGCGUGGGGAGCGAACAGGAUUAGAUACCCUGGUAGUCCACGCCCUAAACGUUGAUUACUCGCUGUUAGCGAUACACUGUUAGCGGCUAAGCGAAAGCGUUAAGUAAUCCACCUGGGAAGUACGAUCGCAAGAUUGAAACUCAAAGGAAUUGACGG
rnacentral:rRNA from 1 species